CCUCCUGUCUAACAAAGAAGGCUUUAUAUGUGUGUUAUGCAUGUAUAUACUUAUAGAAAGAGAAUCUUCCAUAGAUUUGAUUUCUAAUGGUCAUAAGGGUGAAAUAUAAUCCCUUUUGGGUGUAACCAUGGCAACAAUCUGCAUUUCUUAGAUACAAAAUAUAGCAAAAAAGGGGGGUGAACAUGUCACAAAAGUCUCCAAAAUUUGGUCUAAAGGAAAAUUUCAAUCAAUUACAGUGAUACCUUUCCUGAAUCCAUAGGUUUAUAUCUUUCAAGUGGUCAAAAAAAAUCAUAUGCUUUUCUGCUCGUUUUUCCAUAAAAUUGAAUUGAAAAGAUCGAGCGCAAAAUCUUUGUUGAUAAACACUACAAUAAUUUAUGUACCUAUGGACGGUACGGAUAGGAAAAUACGGACUGUCAAUCAUAUAAAUGGCCUAUAAAACAUGUUAAAAACAAUCUAAAUGUUCAUAUAAACCCAC
rnacentral:lncRNA from 1 species